rnacentral:lncRNA from 1 species
GUUUCCAACACAAUGCAUGGCACCCAAUAUGCCCCAUUUCGCUAACCUCCACUGAGCCCCAAGCUCUGAAGAUCAAAGUCAAAGCACGAAAUGAACGUGAGAGAGCUGGAAAGCUAACUACAAAGCCUCUAAAAGUUACGUAACAUGAAGAAACACACUCGAUUCUGCCUCUCCCAUUGAAUAGAGCAAUAAAACAUGGACACAACACACAAAGCAGCUAUUUGAGGACUCUGAGAAGGAAAUGGCAGCACACAGAUUGGGGGAGAAGACCAGAAUUUGAAAUGCUGCUGAACCACAGCAUAUAAGAGUGUCUGUAACUGCAACACCUGUCUAGUACUUAUUUUCAAUGAUCAAUGAUCACAUUACAAAAAAGAUCUCA